rnacentral:lncRNA from 1 species
CUUUUGCUGUCUAGUCAUCCUCCUCGGUCUUCUGCUUCUUGGUGUCCACAUCGUCAUCCUCAUCAUCCUCAGCUACCCGCUUGCCCGUAAUUGUCAGCCUCCUGCUCCCCAUUUUCCUCAUUUUGAGCGUUCCCAUUGGCAGGUGCAUCUCUUCCAUUCUCUGCCUCCUCCACAACUUCCUUCUUCUCCUUCAAGUCCUUGGUGGUGAUCUCGGAGCUGGUAUCCACUGCCGCGUCUGACAUGGUGGGGCACGCCGGU